GGGGGCGUGGCGGAACGGCAGACGCAGCGGACUUAAAAUCCGCCGGUUAAUACCAUGUGGGUUCGAAUCCCACCGCCCCUACCA
rnacentral:tRNA from 1 species